CAGUUUCAGUUUCGAUUCCUGCUGGGACGCUUGGAGUUGAGCUUGGUUAUUGUGAGUUGAGCUGGGCGUUUACAUUUUAGGACGCUGUCAUGGUGGAAACAUCUAGAAAGCAAUAAUGUUUUCAUGGGGAGAAAUUAAUUUAACGAGGCCGAAUGAUUUGGCAGAAAACCGAGACUCAGAGAAAGACUUUCAGUUCGUACCAUCGACCAAACCGAUAAUAACGAGUUUCUCUGCCACUAAUUCAACGGUAACGUUUACCAAAAGUGAUGGAUCAUCAUACUUUCUUCGGCGGCAAAGGGACCAAGAUGGAAAUGUGACAUUCGGUGAAACCACGAGUGUCAAGUGCAAACACGUUGUAGCUUCAAGUUCAGGUGACUCUAGUCUUCUCCUGCUGUCCCGGGAUGGCUCUGUCCUCUAUGUGGAACUCAGUGCAUCUGCCAUUCCAAGAUCGCUAAAAAACGUCAUUAAAAAAAGGAUCAUUCAGGUCGCAUGUGGAGACCAACAUUCCAUAAUUUUAACUGAAGAUGGACAAGCAUUGUCUUGGGGCAGCAACACUCGGGGGCAACUGGGUCUCACCCUCCAAGAGACCUCUGUCGUCCCGUCCCCUACACCAGUGGCAGCCCUGUCAGGGGUACCCCUAGUCCAGGUCACCGCUGGGGGAGCCCACACUCUGGCCUUGUCUGUCUCUGGAACCGUAUUCGGCUGGGGGCAGAAUGACGCCGGGCAACUGGGUCUUGGAGACAUGACAGACAGAUCUACUCCAGUGACAGUUGAGCGUCUCAACCUUAAGAAGACUGUUACCAUUUCUUGUGGUGAAAGACACACUGCUGUUCUGACAAAGGGAGGCGUGGUGUUGACCUUCGGCAGCGGUGGCUGUGGGCAGCUGGGACACAACUCUCUGCUGAAUGAGCUGACCCCUCGUGUGGUGGCUGAACUCUGGGGCGCAGCGGUCACCCAGGUCUCCUGUGGCAGCAACCACACCAUGGCAUUAGUAGGCCCAACAAAGAAGAUCUAUUCAUUUGGUCGUGGAGAAGAAGGCCAGCUUGGAAACAGGCUCACCACAGACUGUUCGGUGCCUCUGCCUGUUCUGCUGCCUCAUGAAGAUGACUGGAGUAUAAAGCAAAUAUUUGCUGGAGGAAACCAAUCUUUGGCCCUUUGUUCUCUCAGUCAGGAACCUGUGAAGGAUCUUCCGGGGAUUGUUACAGCUCUGGAUAUGGACACCAUUGAUUUUUGGCUUUCAAAGUGUCAAAAACCAAAAUUAUGGCAGCAAAUCCGAAAAAAGAUCAAGGAUUUAUUCUCCUCCACGUCUUCCUUGAACGCCAGCUUUCUUGACAGAAGCGAUGACAAGCACUACCGGACCUCAGCCACGUGCUCUGGCUUGGACUUGGUUCUUCUCAGCACAGCUUUGGCCAAGCUAGCGACAAAAGCUAAAGUGCUACAGGAGGUGGAGACCGUCAUCAGAGACUGUCUCCUGCCCUCGUUGACUGGGCAGCCGGUCGGGUUUGAAGGCCUGAGGGUUUACUACCUGCUGGUGGAGCUGCUGCACGUACCGCAGCUCCAACAGCUCUCUAUGGGGGUGGCUGAUGCCUUGCUCUCUCUGCACCCAGACAGAGUGGCAGUCCUUGUUGGACUGUGGUCCAGGACACCUGCCUUCUACCGAUCCGCAGUGGAGACCUUCUGCAACGUGUCCAGGAAGCACCUCUCCUCCUUAGAUGUGGAAAACAGAGAGAGAACCAACCUCUUUAUGAAGACAGCAGGGGUUUUGCAAAGGCUUCAUUCUGCCAGCAGUAAAGGUUCACGGUGCCUCGCAGAUAGUGUUUUCCAUGUGACGACAGUCAUAAAUACUAUCGAGACGUUUGUAGAACUGUGUUCCUUGAAAGCAGAGAGGGAGCACCGAUUAAUCUACCAUGUGGAGGUGGACAACGAUGGACUAAGGAUAAUAAACAACACCAAUUAUUAUUUUAGAAUCUUGUUGUCUCUGGUGAAGUACCCUUGCAUUCUACCCGUAGAAUGCAAGCUGAAGCUGUGGAUGUAUCAUCUGAUCAAUGCCACGAAUUUGCAGCCAGGACGCAUUCAAUUCAAUGUGCACCGAGGCACAGUGCUGAAGGACACUUUAAUAUGUCUGCGGACUUCUUUCCAUGACCCAAGAUUAAAACUUAAGGUGAAGUUUCUGGAGGAAGAUGGCCUUGACGAUGGAGGUGUGUCAUUGGAAUUCUUUAACACCCUUGCAAAAGAACUUAAGGAGGCAGAACCACAAAUACUUGAAGUGAAUAAGGAAGGAGUGGCCUGGUUCAGCAAGAAGGUCGCCCAGCUGACUGAUGAGUUCUUCCUACUGGGCACGCUCUGUGGCAUGGCUCUGUAUAACCAGUGCCUGAUGAACAUCCCCUUCCCCUUGGCUCUCUUCAAGAAGCUCCUGGGCUUGAAGCCAACCCUGGACGACCUCAUGGAGCUGUCGCCAACUGUUGCACAGAGUUUCAUCAAGCUGCUGGACGAGGAUGAAGAGGAGGCUGUCAGAGACCUAGACUUAGAUUUCGGAGGGGAUGCAGAAGAUUUGGAUCUUCUACCUAAUGGACAGUCCAUUCCAUUGACCAAAGUCAACAGACACGUGUCUCUAACCCAGGCAGAAAUAUGUGGACCUCCAAGUGGACAUGGUGUUCAGCCGCUCGGUGGAGCAUCAGUUCAAGGAGUUCGAGAGAGGCUUCUUGAGAGGCUGCCCUUCACCUGAGUGGAGAAUGUUCCUCCCUGAUCAACUCAUGACGCUCCUCAAGGGAGAGGAGGUCUUCAACUGGGACGAUCUGAGACAGAAUGCUGCAUAUGAGUACUGCACACCCAAUGAUGAAAUCAUCAAAAACUUUUGGCGUGUCUUCACCGAGUUCUCCGUGGAGCAGAAGAAGGACUUCCUCAAAUUCCUGACUGGAACGGACCGAAUUCCCAAAGUUCGCAGUUCAUCGAUCAUGAUAAUUAUCAAGUUGACGCGUUACCCACAGCCUGAGCUGUACUUUCCAAUGGCUGAGACCUGCUUCUGGAUCUUGAAUCUCCCCAACUACAGCAACAUCCAAACGCUUCGUCAAAAACUCCUUCAUGCGGUUGAGUUUUGCGAUGGUUUUGGACGAAAGUGAAACAGCUUCAGAAGAUUGCUUGCAAUAAUCUUGUUAUUUUUUUUUUAGAUGAAACAGAGUCUAAAUGGAAAGUUGAAUUAUAUUUCUGUUGGCUUGUAAUUAUUUUUGAUGAAGGGAAUGUUGCCAGGCAAAUUAUAUAUUUUAUAAAAUGUUCUGUCAAUUUGCUUGGUGAAAUGGUGUUGAUAUAUAAAUGUAAAUAAACUGUGCUGGAUGAACCUCUUAAUACGUUAACUGAGCACAACGUUAACACUCCCAACACAGCUUUACAUCAUGUUCCGGGUGUAAUUGGUACCUUUAGCUUAUAACUUGAAUGCUAUGUUGCCAAGGCCCAAAGCAUUGCUGGAAGGUGAGAGCUCAAAUCCAAUAGAGAUGCUCCACCUACACAAUAUACACACAGACUAACGAUAUAGCUAUAUUUUGAAUAUUGGUUGAUAAAUUAAGUUCUGUAAUUUUUGACUCCCUAAUAUUGGUAUCUGCUUCGGCCCCUAUGUUUAAAGUAAUUAACUCUUUGGAAUAAAUGUUUUUAAUUUAAAUGUA